GUAGGUGAACCUGCGGAAGGAUCAUUAUCGAAGCUUAGCGCACCCGAGUCUUCGGACUUGAAAGCGCAACGCUGAAAACGUGCCCCGCACAAUCUAAGCGCCGAAGCGGUGCGCCGGGUGAGACCGGCGCGGUACGUCUUCGGGGCGGCGGCGUCGAACUGCAGCGGCUGGUUCGGCGUCGUUCAAACUGGUAAUCGGUGUUCGGGUGUCGGCCCUCCUCGGCUUAAAGUACCGUUGCAAUCUGCGGUCG
rnacentral:misc_RNA from 1 species